rnacentral:tRNA from 1 species
GGAGCGGUAGUUCAGUUUGGUUAGAAUGCCAGUCUGUCACAUUGGUGGUCGCGGGUUCGAGCCCCGUCCGCUCCG